UGGGGAAUAUUGGACAAUGGGCGAAAGCCUGAUCCAGCCAUGCCGCGUGUGUGAAGAAGGCCCUCGGGUUGUAAAGCACUUUCAGUGGGGAAGAAGGCCUCGGGAUUAAUACUUCCGAGGAAGGACAUCACCCACAGAAGAAGCACCGGCUAACUCCGUGCCAGCAGCCGCGGUAAUACGGAGGGUGCGAGCGUUAAUCGGAAUUACUGGGCGUAAAGCGCGCGUAGGCGGUCUGAUAAGCCGGUUGUGAAAGCCCCGGGCUCAACCUGGGAACGGCAUCCGGAACUGUCAGGCUAGAGUGCAGGAGAGGAAGGUAGAAUUCCCGGUGUAGCGGUGAAAUGCGUAGAGAUCGGGAGGAAUACCAGUGGCGAAGGCGGCCUUCUGGACUGACACUGACGCUGAGGUGCGAAAGCGUGGGUAGCAAACA
rnacentral:rRNA from 1 species